GUGGGGAAUAUUGGGCAAUGGGCGAAAGCCUGACCCAGCAACGCCGCGUGAAGGAAGAAGGUCUUCGGAUCGUAAACUUCUAUCCUUGGUGAAGAUAAUGACGGUAGCCAAGAAGGAAGCCCCGGCUAACUACGUGCCAGCAGCCGCGGUAAUACGUAGGGGGCAAGCGUUGUCCGGAAUGAUUGGGCGUAAAGGGCGCGUAGGCGGCCCGGUAAGUCUGAAGUGAAAGUCCUGCUUUUAAGGUGGGAAUUGCUUUGGAUACUGUCGGGCUUGAGGGCAGGAGAGGUAAGCGGAAUUCCCGGUGUAGCGGUGAAAUGCGUAGAGAUCGGGAGGAACACCAGUGGCGAAGGCGGCUUACUGGACUGUAACUGACGCUGAGGCGCGAAAGUGUGGGGAGCAAACAGGAUUAGAAACCCUGGUAGUCC
rnacentral:rRNA from 1 species